GACAGAGGGUGCAAACGUUGUUCGGAAUUACUGGGCGGUAAAGACGCGUGUAGGCGGCAGGGCAGUGUCGGAUGUGAAAUCCCGUGGCUCAACCACGGAAGUGCACCCAGAAACUGGCGAGCUUGAGUACGAAAGAGGAUCGCGGAAUUCCCGGUGUAGAGGUGAAAUUCGUAGAUAUCGGGAGGAACACCGGUGGCGAAGGCGGCGAUCUGGGUCGAUACUGACGCUGAGGUGCGAAAGCGUGGGGAGCAAACAGG
rnacentral:rRNA from 1 species